ensembl:lncRNA
UGAGCAGUAUGUACCUGGUCUGCUGCGCUGGAAGGGUGUGUUAUUGGAGCGACAGGUGAAGGAAGUGCUGGAUGAGAUUCAGGAACCUUGCCAAAAUCCAGAUCCUACACAUGUCACCUUUGUUCUUCUGAAGGGAUUUUUUUGUUGUAAAUAGCUUGAGGUCAGAGGGGAACAGACAUCUGAAUACAGUUCACAGCAGUCCGGAGUUCCUGAUCUCAUCGCUCUAGAUGUUGAAGCGAGUAACAAGAGAGUGCUUAACAUUCUCAGAAUGAUUCUGAGUGACCAAUCAACCCCUGAGGACUUUGACACUGCAGCUGAGGUGCUGAAAACAUGGAGCAAACUGAACAACAGCUUCUCUCAAGACUGGCUUUGUGAGUACCUUCAGGAAAUAGAUCAGUUUGUUGAGAACCACUUUCCCUCGCUGCCAGCAGAGGGACCACAAGGAUCUCAGUUAGAGCAGAUGCAAGAAUUUCUAAACAGUGCACAGAGUAUUAUAUAUGAUGAGGUGUGUCGAUUAACACCUUUACUGAAAGAUGCUGGACUGCUAGUUCAUCUGAUGGACAGUUACAGCCAUCACCUUUUUACCAACCUGGACCUGCUACUAAACAAAGAUCUUUCAGCGAAUGAAAUCUUCUGCCUUCUAAUGUGGGGAAAAAAUGUUUUCUUCAGUCCAGACUCACAGCAUUUCUUCAGAGUGUACGACCCUCUGCUGUUGACAGGUUGGUUUGAGAGAGCAACAAGGAAGCUGCUGCCAAAACUGGAGGAUGACAUCUCCACGACUCUACAGAACAUCCGACACUAUGAUGAGGAACAUGGACAUAGUGAGGACUCAAUGGAUGAAGAAACUUUCAUCAGAGUUCACUUAGAUGUCACCCAGUGUCUGAAUGCUGUUAUUAACAAUUCUAAAGAAUUUAGUAACACCCUGAUGUGUACAGCACAGACGCUCUGCCUUAAAGAGCUUCAUCAUUUUGUUCAGGAGUAUGCACAUGCACAGAAAAAAUGUCUGGGAAAACAGAAACCCCUGAACUCAAAAUAUGUGCAUCUGUUUCGGCUCAUCAGCACCAGUAGGCAACUCAGAUUUUUUGCUGAUCGACUCAACAAUCCGGAUAUUAACAACAGUAACGACCUCUCAAACAUCAUCUGCAUGUUAGAGGAGCUGGAAGAUCACGUUCUGUCAAUUGUACAGAAGAUGAUGAAACACUUAGCGCAGGGCUAUUUGAGAAAAUAUUUCAAAAAAGAAGGUGAGCAAAUUCAAAUGCUGACAGAGGGCAUUCAAAAGCGGUGUGCAUCUCUGCCUCAGGCUCAUGUGGGAAAAGAGAUUCAGGAGAUCUUUGUAAAUGUAGCCUAUGACUGCAUUUCACACGUAUAUCUGGAUUGCCUGAUGAAGAGCAAGUUCAAGCGGCUAGAGAAGAGAUGGGGAAAUGUCGGAGAAAGGAUGAGAGAGGAUGCUCUCAGUUUUCACAACACAUUUACUGAACUGAAUGGCAGUGAUGACCAGAGGUACCAUCUCCUUCAGAGAAUGAGUGAAGUUUUGCUCUGCAGUGAUGUAGAUGCACUGAAGAUUACCUGUUGUGAUUUGUUCAGGGAUUUCCCUCAAGACAGUGAGCAGUAUGUACCUGGUCUGCUGCGCUGGAAAGGUGUGUUAUCAGAGCGACAGGUGAAGGAAGUGCUGACUGUGAGCCGGGAUCUCGUUCUGGAUCUAAAGCCUAGACGUGUCACAUGUCAGCGUCUGAAGGGGCUUUGCUGUUGUCUUUGA